GCUUUCGUGGUGUAAUGGUCAGCACACUCGGCGCGUAUUCGAGAGGUCCGAGGUUCGAGUCCCGGCGAGAGCC
rnacentral:tRNA from 1 species